AAUUAGAAAAUCUACAUUGAUUUUCGUUCCAACAGAAUUUACUUCAAAUUCAAUAGGUUAGAACUGUUGAGCCAUUAUCACUAUGAGUAGGAAUUAACUCUAUCAACCUCCAAAUCCUUCUUCACCAAAAUUCUUAAUGUCUAUGAUCAAUGCUACACAUAAUAACUCACAUAAGCAUCUCAAAAUCGAAAUCUCUACUCAAUAUUUAUUUUACAAUGACAAAGAUUUCUGGUUAAAUCAUAAA
rnacentral:lncRNA from 1 species